rnacentral:lncRNA from 1 species
CAACCAUUCAUUUACCAGCCUGCCUUCUGAGCUGGUGAAUAUCUAUGGCCAGGCCUUGAAGAGGGAGUCCAUGGAACAGAUAAAUUUGAUGAAGAAGCCAAGGAAAGGAAUAAGUCAGCUAUUCAACAGCUGCUAAGGGAGGAUAAUAUAAUGGACUGGAAUUCCCCAAACUGAACUUUUGAACUAAGACAUCUUUUAUUCCUAGGCAUACCCUCAAGAGAUGUAAAAACAAGUCCACAUAAGAGCCCCUCAAAGAUAUGAGGAUCCUCUUGACUAGAAUUGAAUGAGAGAACGAACACAUAGUUAAUUUUGAAUUUCAGAUAAACAACAAAUAACUUCCAUGAUAUAGGUAUACCCCAAAUAUUGUGUAAGACAUAUGUAUACUAAAAAUUAUUAUUUAUAUAAUGUGAUGUCUUGUAAUUUUAUUUGCUAAAUCUGGCAGCUGUAUAUUGAUAGGACCCCAAACCCAUCUGUGGUUAGGAGUCUGGGAUUCUAAGAGCUCUAAUUAUAGGAAGCUGAGUCCAG